UACGGAGGAGGCAAGCGUUAUCAGGAAUUAUUGGGCGGAAAGCGUCCGUAGGUGGCCAUGCAAGUCUGCUGUCAAAGCAUGGAGCUUAACUCCAUAGAGGCAGUGGAAACUGAAUAGCUAGAGGUCGGUAGGGGUAGCGGGAAUUCCCAGUGUAGCGUUGAAAUGCGUAGAGAUUGGGACGAACAUCGGUGGCGAAAGCGCGCUACUGGGCCGAAACUGACACUGAGGGACGAAAGCUAGGGGAGCGAAAGGG
rnacentral:rRNA from 1 species